rnacentral:hammerhead_ribozyme from 1 species
CUCCAACUGAUGAUUCCCAAAUAGGACGAAACGCGCGUUCUGGAU